GCGGAAGUGGCGGAACUGGCAGACGCGCUGGAUUUAGGUUCCAGUGCCGCAAGGCGUGGGGGUUCAAGUCCCUUCUUCCGCACCA
rnacentral:tRNA from 1 species